rnacentral:rRNA from 1 species
AUGAACGCUGGCGGCGUGCCUAAUACAUGCAAGUCGAGCGCACAGACGAGGAGCUUGCUCCUCUGACGUUAGCGGCGGACGGGUGAGUAACACGUGGAUAACCUACCUAUAAGACUGGGAUAACUUCGGGAAACCGGAGCUAAUACCGGAUAAUAUAUUGAACCGCAUGGUUCAAUAGUGAAAGACGGUUUUGCUGUCACUUAUAGAUGGAUCCGCGCCGCAUUAGCUAGUUGGUAAGGUAACGGCUUACCAAGGCAACGAUGCGUAGCCGACCUGAGAGGGUGAUCGGCCACACUGGAACUGAGACACGGUCCAGACUCCUACGGGAGGCAGCAGUAGGGAAUCUUCCGCAAUGGGCGAAAGCCUGACGGAGCAACGCCGCGUGAGUGAUGAAGGUCUUCGGAUCGUAAAACUCUGUUAUUAGGGAAGAACAAAUGUGUAAGUAACUAUGCACGUCUUGACGGUACCUAAUCAGAAGGCCACGGCUAACUACG